rnacentral:rRNA from 1 species
AGAUUGAACGCUGGCGGCAGGCCUAACACAUGCAAGUCGAGCGGCAGCACGGGUACUUGUACCUGGUGGCGAGCGGCGGACGGGUGAGUAAUGCCUAGGAAUCUGCCUGGUAGUGGGGGAUAACGCUCGGAAACGGACGCUAAUACCGCAUACGUCCUACGGGAGAAAGCGAGGGGACCUUCGGGCCUUGCGCUAUCAGAUGAGCCUAGGUCGAUUAGCUAGUUGGUGGGGUAAUGGCGUCA